rnacentral:rRNA from 1 species
GAUGAACGCUGGCGGCGUGCCUAAUACAUGCAAGUCGAGCGAACGGACGAGAAGCUUGCUUCUCUGAUGUUAGCGGCGGACGGGUGCGUAACACGUGGAUAACCUACCUAUAAGACUGGGAUAACUUCGGGAAACCGGAGCUAAUACCGGAUAAUAUUUUGAACCGCAUGGUUCAAAAGUGAAAGACGGUCUUGCUGUCACUAAUAGAUGGAUCCGCGCUGCAUUAGCUAGUUGGUAAGGUAACGGCUUACCAAGGCAACGAUGCAUAGCCGACCUGAGAGGGUGAUCGGCCACACUGGAACUGAGACACGGUCCAGACUCCUACGGGAGGCAGCAGUAGGGAAUCUUCCGCAAUGGGCGAAAGCCUGACGGAGCAACGCCGCGUGAGUGAUGAAGGUCUUCGGAUCGUAAAACUCUGUUAUUAGGGAAGAACAUAUGUGUAAGUAACUGUGCACAUCUUGACGGUACCUAAUCAGAAAGCCACGGCUAACUACGUG